UCCCUGGUGGUCCAGUGGGUAGGAUGGAGCACUUUCACUGCUGGGGUCCAGGUUUGAUCCCUGGUUGGGGAA
rfam:TPA: Bos taurus chromosome 15, whole genome shotgun sequence.